AUAUCUUUUUCAGCUUUUUGGCUAAGAUCAAGUGUAGUAUUUGUUCUUAUUAGUUUAAUAUCUGAUAUGUGGACUAAUGAUUCACGUAAUAUUAAAUUAAUUUUUUAAUUUAGGGGAAGAGCGCAUUACAAUAGCUUGCCAUUGGAGUUCUCGUGCGUCGUCCAGAAGUUGCACUACAGAAACAUGUAGUCCAA